rfam:Nitratiruptor sp. SB155-2 genomic DNA, complete genome.
GGUGGGAUACCCAAGCGGCCAACGGGGGCAGACUGUAAAUCUGCUGGCUUUCGCCUUCGGAGGUUCGAAUCCUCCUCCCACCA